rnacentral:piRNA from 1 species
CCUGGCUGUGGUUUCUGGGCUGCUG